GAUGAACGCUGGCGGCGUGCUUAACACAUGCAAGUCGAACGAUGAAGCCCAGCUUGCUGGGUGGAUUAGUGGCGAACGGGUGAGUAACACGUGAGUAACCUGCCCUUAACUCUGGGAUAAGCCUGGGAAACUGGGUCUAAUACCGGAUAGGAGCGUCCACCGCAUGGUGGGUGUUGGAAAGAUUUUUCGGUUUUGGAUGGACUCGCGGCCUAUCAGCUUGUUGGUGAGGUAAUGGCUCACCAAGGCGACGACGGGUAGCCGGCCUGAGAGGGUGACCGGCCACACUGGGACUGAGACACGGCCCAGACUCCUACGGGAGGCAGCAGUGGGGAAUAUUGCACAAUGGGCGCAAGCCUGAUGCAGCGACGCCGCGUGAGGGAUGACGGCCUUCGGGUUGUAAACCUCUUUCAGUAGGGAAGAAGCGAAAGUGACGGUACCUGCAGAAGAAGCACCGGCUAACUACGUG
rnacentral:rRNA from 1 species